UACGUAGGGGGCAAGCGUUAUCCGGAAUUAUUGGGCGUAAAGAGUACGUAGGUGGCAACCUAAGCGCAGGGUUUAAGGCAAUGGCUCAACCAUUGUUCGCCCUGCGAACUGGGAUGCUUGAGUGCAGAAGAGGAGAGUGGAACUCCAUGUGUAGCGGUGGAAUGCGUAGAUAUAUGGAAGAACACCAGUGGCGAAGGCGGCUCUCUGGUCUGCAACUGACGCUGAGGCUCGAAAGCAUGGGUAGCGAACAGG
rnacentral:rRNA from 1 species